rnacentral:rRNA from 1 species
AGUGAACGCUGGCGGUAGGCCUAACACAUGCAAGUCGAACGGCAGCACAGUAAGAGCUUGCUCUUACGGGUGGCGAGUGGCGGACGGGUGAGGAAUACAUCGGAAUCUACUUUUUCGUGGGGGAUAACGUAGGGAAACUUACGCUAAUACCGCAUACGACCUACGGGUGAAAGCAGGGGAUCUUCGGACCUUGCGCGAUUGAAUGAGCCGAUGUCGGAUUAGCUAGUUGGCGGGGUAAAGGCCCACCAAGGCGACGAUCCGUAGCUGGUCUGAGAGGAUGAUCAGCCACACUGGAACUGAGACACGGCCAAGACUCCUACGGGAGGCAGCAGUGGGGAAUAUUGGACAAUGGGCGCAAGCCUGAUCCAGCCAUACCGCGUGGGUGAAGAAGGCCUUCGGGUUGUAAAGCCCUUUUGUUGGGAAAGAAAAGCAGCAGGUUAAUACCCCGCUGUUCCGACGGUACCCAAAGAAUAAGCACCGGCUAACUUCGUG